UGGGGAAUAUUGCACAAUGGGCGGAAGCCUGAUGCAGCGACGCCGCGUGAGGGAUGACGGCCUUCGGGUUGUAAACCUCUUUCAGUAGGGACGAAGCGUAAGUGACGGUACCUGCAGAAGAAGCGCCGGCUAACUACGUGCCAGCAGCCGCGGUAAUACGUAGGGCGCGAGCGUUGUCCGGAAUUAUUGGGCGUAAAGAGCUCGUAGGCGGUUUGUCGCGUCUGCUGUGAAAGACCGGGGCUUAACUCCGGGGCUGCAGUGGGUACGGGCAGGCUGGAGUGCGGUAGGGGUAACCGGAAUUCCUGGUGUAGCGGUGGAAUGCGCAGAUAUCAGGAGGAACACCGAUGGCGAAGGCAGGUUACUGGGCCGUUACUGACGCUGAGGAGCGAAAGCAUGGGGAGCGAACAGG
rnacentral:rRNA from 1 species